CCUACGGGGGGCAGCAGUGGGGGAUAUUGCACAAUGGGGGAAACCCUGAUGCAGCGACGCCGCGUGUGGGAAGACGGUCCUCUGGAUUGUAAACCACUGUCCCCAGGGACGAAGAUGACGGUACCUGUGGAGGAAGCUCCGGCUAACUACGUGCCAGCAGCCGCGGUAAUACGUAGGGAGCGAGCGUUGUCCGGAAUUACUGGGUGAAAAGGGAGCGUAGGCGGGGAUGCAAGUUGGGGGUCAAAACUACCGGCUCAACUGGUAGUCGCACUCAAAACUGCAGCUCGUGAGUGAAGUAGAGGCAGGGGGAAUUCCAGGUGGAGCGGUGAAAUGCGUAGAUAUUAGGAGGAACACCAGUGGCGAGGGCGGCCUGCUGGGCUUUGACUGACGCUGAGGCUCGAAAGUGUGGGGAGCAAACAGGAUUAGAUACCCGAGUAGUC
rnacentral:rRNA from 1 species